UACGGAGGGGGCUAGCGUUGUUCGGAAUUACUGGGCGUAAAGGGUUCGUAGGCGGUGUGGCAAGUCGGGAGUGAAAUCUCUGGGCUCAACUCAGAGACUGCUUCCGAAACUGCUGUGCUGGAGUGUGGGAGAGGCGCGUGGAAUUGCAGGUGUAGCGGUGAAAUGCGUAGAUAUCUGCAGGAACACCCGUGGCGAAAGCGGCGCGCUGGACCACUACUGACGCUGAGGAACGAAAGCUAGGGGAGCAAACAGG
rnacentral:rRNA from 1 species